AACUAAAGGAAAUCUAUGACCCAAUCAGGAAAACCACGUGAGCUUUAGCUGACGUCAUCAGCUGCAACCUGUCAGCGUCUUUCUCCAGGGCGUCAACCAAUAGGAAGGAGUCCUUCGUCGGUAUGGCAGUAAACUGGUGGGUGGGGGGGAACUUGCAGACAUGUUGUCUUCAGGUAGCCGCCUCGCUAACCGCCCCCACGUGCUCCUGGCCCACCAUUCAAUGAGUGCAAUUAUUUUAUGUCAUGAUUCUUUUUGAAUAAUAAAAAUGGCCUGGGAGAGAGGUCGUCAGGUGGUCCCCAACCUUCUCCGGGUGUUUGUACCCUGAACCACAACACCCUCCAGUUGGCGGGUCAGCAGUGACAGGCCAGGUCCCCGCCCCUCUCUUCCAGGUUUCCAGCUUGUGUCCUCUCUCUUGUUCCAGAGCCAACAGGAGGCUCUCUGUGACGUUCUCCCAGACUACGAACAGCUGCUUAACUCAGGUGGCCUCUCAGUCCAACCUUUGUCAAUAGACUCCACCCAGAUUGAGCUGGGAACCAGAUAAGUCAGCAUGAUAAAUACCCCACGACCUGAUCAAAUUCCAAAUUUGUGACAGCUUCAUGACAGCUUUUCAACUUCUCUCCUCUGAAAUGUCAAUGAUACAACUUCUUUAGAGUAUCAGACCAGAUAGCUCAGUGUUAUGGAACGCUGGUUAGAGGACUCAUAGGUCAUGGGUUCAAUCACCCUCAUAGGCUGGUUCAAAGUCAACAUUUCACAGAAAAUUUAUUUCUUUCCUUAACACACCCCCCCCCCCCCCCAAAAAAAGUCUGUGUUAAAUGCGUGCUGUAACUGCUGGAGGUGGCGGCAGAGGUGGCGGCGGAGUCGAAUUGCAUCGGCCCUUCACCCAGGGAAGCGGGGUUCACAUCCGGUUGUAGACUACGUUGGUGUUGUAGAGUAUACUGUUGUUGAAGGUAGGCGGGGUGGUGCCAGCAACCCACAUGCCGCCCCGGUAAGACACUUGGCCAAACCACAUGCCGCCCCGAAGGGGCGGCAUGUGGUUUGGCAAGUGUCAUCCCCUAUGCCGCCCCGAAGGGGCGGCGUAGGGGUAUACCUACUUUACCUUUUGCUACCUGGAACAAUAAAUUUAUUCUCUAAGUGUCAUAAGUACAACUCAGGAUUUUUACCCAGAAGACAAGUGUCCAUGUCUCACAUAUGUUUCAGUACUAAAUGUUUUCCUAAUCCCAAAUGUACUCAGCUAUUACAGAUACUCAGACAGUUGGGCUUUGACACGCACUAAUCCCCAGGUGCAUGACACUAACUCCACCUCCCAGGUUAUAAACCCCCACCUUCCAGGUGCAGAUUACUAACCCCACCUCCCAGGACACUAACCCCAUGUUCAGCCUCAUCAUAAUGUCUACACCUUAUGAGUUUUGAACUCACAACCACUGGGUUCUCUAACCAGCGUUCCACCACACUGAGCUAUUGAUCUGAUAUCCUAAGCUGGUUGGAAGUUGUAUUUACUGUUCACAUUUCAGAGGAGAAAAGCUG